GUGCARCCUCCAGGACCCCCCCUCCCGGGAGAGCCAUAGUGGUCUGCGGAACCGGUGAGUACACCGGAAUUGCCAGGACGACCGGGUCCUUUCUUGGAUCAACCCGCUCAAUGCCUGGAGAUUUGGGMGUKCCCCCGCGAGACUGCUARCCGAGUAGUGUUGGGUCGCGAAAGGCCUUGUGGUACUGCCUGAUAGGGUGCUUGCGAGUGCCCCGGGAGGU
rnacentral:other from 1 species